rnacentral:lncRNA from 1 species
AGGAAGAAGUUUCCUCAGGUUCUCUGAGAGCUUCCAGAGAACAGAGCAUUUCUAUGGAGACAAUCCCUUCCAAAUAUGCUCCUCAACCAUGGUUGGGCCCUGAAUUUGAGCAGCAAGCCUCAAGUUUAGAAAAUGUUGCCAAAGAGGAGAAUGUUUUGACGGAGGCCUGGCUUUCGGGACAUCCAUCUGAAAGCAUUAUCAAACAUAAAGUUGAGAAAACACCCUCAGGCUUUGAGAGUACCUCUGUGGAGGGAGGCAUGCCUUGGAGGCCAGUGCCCCCCACAUGUCCCACCCCAUUGUCAAUAAGAUCUAAAGUUCAGGAAACGUCCUGCCGUCUAGACAGUGCUACUGCUCAAGACAGCUCCAAGAAAUCACAGAAUAUCAGGUCAUCUUCCCAGUCCUUUGUGAAGUUCAUGGCACAGCAAGUAUUUUCAGACAGUGCUACCAGUGAAAUGGACACUUAUGCAAAGCCUGUUACUGCUCGGGGGCGAAGCCGUCCUUCCAGAUCCUUGUUGAAGCCUAAACUCGAUGAGCAUGUUUUCUUAUAUAACUGGGAUGAUGAUGAACCCAAGAAAGACACCAAAUCAAAGAAUCUGCCCACGAAGCCACCUUUUCAGUCAUCCAGAAGGCCUGAAGAGCCUCAAGAAGUUUUGGCACUUUCUG